UACGUAGGGUGCGAGCGUUGUCCGGAAUUACUGGGCGUAAAGAGCUCGUAGGUGGUUUGUCGCGUUGUUCGUGAAAACUCACAGCUUAACUGUGGGCGUGCGGGCGAUACGGGGCAGACUGGAGUACUGCAGGGGAGACUGGAAUUCCUGGUGUAGCGGUGGAAUGCGCAGAUAUCAGGAGGAACACCGGUGGCGAAGGCGGGUCUCUGGGCAGUAACUGACGCUGAGGAGCGAAAGCGUGGGGAGCGAACAGG
rnacentral:rRNA from 1 species